CAAGAACCAGAGUGGUGGACUGGUUUAUACUAGUACUAAGGGACUGGUACACUAGUAAAUAGUAAUGGUCUUGACCUGGUAUAGUUAACCUCAAUACCUCUGGAUGCUAGACCAGAUGUGUAGGUCCCUAACAGGUCUCGGACCAGGCCUGCAGGUCCCUAACAGGUCUCAGUCCAGGCAGGUCCUCACCUCUCUGCCGUUGUCUCUCAGCUGGCUCUCUGCUCUCAUCACCCCAGAGAUGGCCUCCUCCAGCUGGGCCCGCGCC